rnacentral:rRNA from 1 species
AGAGCGAACGCUGGCGGCAGGCCUAACACAUGCAAGUCGAGCGCCCGUAGCAAUACGGGAGCGGCAGACGGGAUAGUAACACGUGGGAACGCGCCCUUCGGUUCGGAAUAACUCAGGGAAACUUGAGCUAAUACCGGAUACGCCCUUACGGGGAAAGAUUUAUUGCCGAAGGAACGGCCCGCGUCCGAUUAGCUAGUUGGUGAGGUAAUGGGCUCACCAAGGCGACGAUCGGUAGCUGGUCUGAGAGGAUGACCAGCAUCACUGGGACUGAGACACGGCCCAGACUCCUACGGGAGGCAGCAGUGGGGAAUAUUGGACAAUGGGCGCAAGCCUGAUCCAGCCAUGCCGCGUGGAUGAUGAAGGCCUUAGGGUUGUAAAGUCCUUUUAACGGGGAGAUAAUGACGGUACCCGUAGAAUAAGCCCCGGCUAACUUCGUGCCAGCAGCCGC